AUUGUCGUGUCGUCGUUUGCUGUAUGCUGUCGUUGCUAGCUGUGUGCGUUAAGCUAUUCCCUGGAUCCUGACUCCUGUUCCUGCUUCCUGGUUUCUGGGGUCGCGGGGGGUGCUGGAGCCUAUCUCAGCUGCAUUCGGGCGGAAGGUACACCCUGGACAAGUCGCCACUUCAUCACAGGGUGUGGCAGACCAGGAAGUACCAGGUGAUGGAGGUUAAUCGUGCCAACAAAAUACCCCUGAUCCCUGAUCGACUGAAUGCUCGGAGAAGACAAUAACCUGGAUGAAGGACAACAUCCGCACACCUCAACUAGGACAGAGCUUUUUCCCAUAAAUAUGUGUCUUUUUAGUUUCGGAACACAAUGUUUUAGCUGAUUUUUAUAAUAAUUGCCUUGUCCUGCUCGUCUGUUUGGGCUCCUCAGGAUGUGUGUGAACACCCGUACCAACAGACAUCUUUAAUGCAUUACCUGUCCUAACUGAGGACCAAAGAUCACGUUUGUGCGAGAGACUCAAUAAACUGUGCAGACAAGACUUAAUUUGUUUACCUUUUG